GAAUUUUCCGCAAUGGGCGAAAGCCUGACGGAGCAAUACCGCGUGAGGGAAGACGGCCUAUGGGUUGUAAACCUCUUUUCUCAGGGAGGAACUCAAUGACGUGUACCUGAGGAAUAAGCAUCGGCUAACUCCGUGCCAGCAGCCGCGGUAAGACGGAGGAUGCAAGUGUUAUCCGGAAUCACUGGGCGUAAAGCGUCUGUAGGUGGUUUAGUAAGUCAACUGUCAAAUCUUGAGGCUCAACUUCAAAAUCGCAGUCGAAACUAUUAGACUAGAGUAUAGUAGGGGUAAAGGGAAUUUCCAGUGGAGCGGUGAAAUGCGUAGAGAUUGGAAAGAACACCGAUGGCGAAGGCACUUUACUGGGCUAUUACUAACACUCAGAGACGAAAGCUAGGGUAGCAAAUGGGAUUAGAUACCCCAGUAGUC
rnacentral:rRNA from 1 species